GUAUAAUGCCUGGGCCCACCUCAACGCAGCCCUAUAUGACUCUUGGAGCUAGAACUGCCUGGACCUGUGACCGUUCUGUGAGCCAACUUGGUGCAACAAUAUUUUGCAGAGAUGGAGCCCUCCUGAAGGUUACACCUAAAUUCAUUGGCAGCACAUCUUUCAGGUUUGUUGGAAAUCCCUGUGCUCACCGAUAGAAAAUCUUCCUGGGUAAGGAAUUUUGUUCUCUG